rnacentral:rRNA from 1 species
CCUACGGGUGGCAGCAGGGGGGGAUAUUGCACAAUGGGGGAAACCCUGAUGCAGCGACGCCGCGUGUGGGAAGACGGUCCUCUGGAUUGUAAACCACUGUCCCCAGGGACGAAAAUGACGGUACCUGGGGAGGAAGCUCCGGCUAACUACGUGCCAGCAGCCGCGGUAAUACGUAGGGAGCGAGCGUGGUACGUAAUUACUGGGUGAAAAGGGAGCGUAGGCGGGGAUGCAAGUUGGGUGUCAAAACUACCGGCUCAACUGGUAGUCGCACUCAACACUGCAGUACUUGAGUGAAGUAGAGGCAGGCGGAAUUCCUAGUGUAGCGGUGAAAUGCGUAGAUAUUAGGAGGAACACCAGUGGCGAAGGCGGCCUGCUGGGCUUUUACUGACGCUGAGGCUCGAAAGUGUGGGGAGCAAACAGGAUUAGAUACCCGGGUAGUC